rnacentral:tRNA from 2 species
UGUGACCUUAGUGUAGUGGUUAUCACGUUUGUCUAACACGCAGAAGGUCCCCAGUUCGAGCCUGGGAGGUCACAU